rnacentral:piRNA from 1 species
UUGCUUUUGACAUGAUGAUUUGGGUAA